UUGAAGUUCAGGUAACACUGAAUGGAGGACCGAACCGACUUACGUUGAAAAGUGAGCGGAUGAACUGAGGGUAGCGGAGAAAUUCCAAUCGAACCUGGAGAUAGCUGGUUCUCUCCGAAAUAGCUUUAGGGCUAGCCUCAAGUGAUGAUUAUUGGAGGUAGAGCACUGUUUGGACGAGGGGCCCCUCUCGGGUUACCGAAUUCAGACAAACUCCGAAUGCCAAUUAAUUUAACUUGGGAGUCAGAACAUGGGUGAUAAGGUCCGUGUUCGAAAGGGAAACAGCCCAGACCACCAGCUAAGGUCCCAAAAUAUAUGUUAAGUGGAAAAGGAUGUGGCGUUGCCCAGACAACUAGGAUGUUGGCUUAGAAGCAGCCAUCAUUUAAAGAGUGCGUAAUAGCUCACUAGUCGAGUGACACUGCGCCGAAAAUGUACCGGGGCUAAACAUAUUACCGAAGCUGUGGAUUGUCCUUUGGACAAUGGUAGGAGAGCGUUCUAAGGGCGUU
rnacentral:rRNA from 1 species